rnacentral:rRNA from 1 species
AUUGAACGCUGGCGGCAGGCCUAACACAUGCAAGUCGAGCGGAGCGACGGACGGGAGAGUAAUGCCUAGGAAUAUGCCUGGUAGUGGGGGAGAACGUCCGGAAACGGGCGAUAAUACCGCAUACUAUGAGAGGCGCCUAGGUCGGAUUGGCUAGUUGGUGGGGUAAAGGCCUACCAAGGCGACGAUCCGUAAAUGGUCUGAGGGGAGUAUCAGUCACACUGGAACUGAGACACGGUCCAGACUCCUACGGGAGGCAGCAGUGGGUAAUAUUGGACAAUGGGCGAAAGCCUGAUCCAGCCAUGCCGCGUGUGUGAAGAAGGUCUUCGGAUUGUAAAGCACUUUAAGUUGUGAGGCGUUACCAACAGAAUAAGCACCGGCGAACUUCGUGCCAGCAGCCGCGGUAAUAC